rnacentral:rRNA from 1 species
UACGGAGGAUGCGAGCGUUAUCCGGAUUUAUUGGGUUUAAAGGGUGCGUAGGCGGCUUUUUAAGUCAGCGGUGAAAUUUUGCAGCUUGACUGUAACAGUGCCGUUGAUACUGUUUGGCUAGGAUUUGGUUGCUGUGGGUGGAAUGUGUGGUGUAGCGGUGAAAUGCUUAGAGAUCACACAGAAUAUCGAUUGCGAAGGCAGCUCACAAAGCCAAGAUUGACGCUGAGGCACGAAAGUGUGGGGAUCAAACAGGAUUA